GAGAAGCCUUAGCUCUGUCAUUAUGAUUUGUACACAGACCUAGCAAUUUAUGAAGUAAAACAAUAAUUCCAUUAAAGAAAGAAGCUUAAGGCAAAGUCUUCCAAAAACAAACUCCAAGUUGCUAAAGGCAAGCGGGCAGUGACCAAAUUAGAUGAAGAUGAGAAAAAGGAAUACAUAUAAUCUUGUCAUGGUUUUUCACUUUCUUUUCUGUUUUGUUUUAGAGGUAAUUGAAAAUUGUGUCUACUCUGAAAUUGAAAAUACUAUUCAAGAAUUGUAACUUAUUAGUAAUGCACUGACAAAUACUAUUGAUUAUCUGAUUUGAAAUACUGCCAAUCCCUUUGAGCAAUCUCAUUUAUAAGAGGUGUGCUAUAAAAAUUUAGGCAAAAUAUACCAAAAUAUAUGUAUUUAUAUAUGUAAACUCAUUCUAUAUAUUGUAGAAAAUCGUAACAAAUUGGAUUCAUCCUAAAUACCUAGCAAUAGAAAAUUACUAAAAUAAUACAUAGCAUAUCCAAAAAUAAAAUAUCAUGUAUUUAUUAAACAAUUUUUAUGGAUAUAUUUUACAUAUUUUCCUAUGUAUCAAUAUUGUUAUACAAUAUUCAAAGUGUAUUUAUUUAGUGGUAGGAUUUUGAGUAGUUUUAAUGUCUAUUGCACUAUAAAUAAUGCAUCUGUAAUUUCAAAACUGAAAAAUAUGUAUUAAUGUAAAAUACAAAAAACUAUUCUUAAUCAGGAAAAGUAACAAAAAAGCAUUAAUAUUUUGUUCAGCUCUACUUAUCUGUUAAAUAAAAUAGUAAUUCUAUGUAGUAAAAGUAAAGAAAGACAAAACUUGCAUUUUAAAUGGGGCCAAUGUUGGCUGUCCUAAGUGCACAUACAUAGUUAUUUUGCACAUGGCUGAGUCAGAAAAGUCCUUUUGGCAUUGUAAAUAGCACGGUUCUCUUUUCAAGGACACUCUUUGUGAGCAGUAUUUUCUUCCUUUCACUAAGCCACACCUCCUAAGGGUUCAACCAUAUCCCAGUAGCACUACAGGCUGAUGAUGAAGCUUUUAACACGUGGACCAAACCAAAAGAAAGAGUUACCAUGUGUUGUCACUGUUAACUGAUUUCCUCCUGAAACCUCAAGCCAAAUGAAUCUGACUCUUCUACUCCAUGCAACUGAAAAUGCUUCCUCAAAGGUAACUAAUGACCUUCUGAUUAUUCUAAU
rnacentral:lncRNA from 1 species